rnacentral:rRNA from 1 species
GACGGUACCAGAGUACCGCGGGACACGAGAAACCCCGUGGGAAGCAGGGGGGACCACCCUCCAAGGCAAAACACAGAUAUCGACCGAUAGCGCAUAGUACCAUGAGGGAAAGGUGAAAAGCACCCCGGGAGGGGAAUGAAACAGAACCUGAAACCGUAUGUUUACAAGCAGUCGGAGACCGUAUAUAUAUCAGGUCGACGGCGUGCCUAUUGAAGAAUGAACCGGCGAGUUAUGAGGUCCAGCGAGGUUAAGCAGGAAAUGCGGAGCCGAAGCGAAAGCGAGUCUUAACAGGGCGAGUAGUUGGACUGCAUAGACCCGAAACCACAGUGAUCUACCCAUGUCCAGGUUGAAGCACAGGUAAAAAUGUGUGGAGGACCGAACCUAUAUCCGUUGAAAAGGGUUAGGAUGAGGUGUGGGUAGGGGUGAAAUUCCAAUCGAACGUGGAGAUAGCUGGUUCUCCCCGAAAUAGCUUUAGGGCUAGCCUCAGGGUAAAGAUUGCAGGCGGUAGAGCACUGAUCAGGAGAGGGACCUACCCGGUUACCAAACCCAGUCAAACUACGAAUGGCUGCAAUUAUACCUGGGAGUCAGACUACGACUUAUAAGGGCCGUGGUCAAAAGGGAAACAGCCCAGAUCAUCAGCUAAGGUCCCAAAUGCCGUGCUAAGUGGCGAAGGAUGUGGCGUUUCAUAAACAACCAGGAUGUUGGCUCAGAAGCAGCCACCAUUUAAAGAGUGCGUAAUAGCUCACUGGUCGAGAGACGCUGCGCCGAAAAUGUCCGGGGCUCAAGCACGGAACCGAAGCUAUGGCAUUGCGUAAGCAAUGGGUAGGGGAGCGUUCUUAUGGGGAAGAAGCAUUACCGUAAGGAGAUGUGGACACAUAAGAAGUGAGAAUGCCGGUAUGAGUAUCGAAAAGAAAGGUGAGAAUCCUUUCCACCGAAAGCCCGAGGGUUCCUGAGCAACGAUCGUCGUCUCAGGGUAAGUCGGGACCUAAGCCGAGGCACAGACGCAUAGGCGAUGGACAACAGGUUGAAAUUCCUGUACCGGAUGGAGUCAUUUGAGCAAUGGAGUGACGCAGGAGGGCACAUGAUCGCGCGACUGGAAGAGCGCGUCCAAGUGCGUAUGUUGAAUCGGAGGCAAAUCCCCGAUUCUGAAAGCAGAGACAUGAUGGGGAGUUAUAAGCGAUUAUGACGAACUCAUGGAUCCCACACUGCCAAGAAAAACUUCUAGCGAGACGAAAUCCGCCCGUACCGUAAACCGACACAGGUAGGCGGGGAGAGAAUCCUAAGGUGCGCGGGAAAACCCUCGUUAAGGAACUCGGCAAAUUGCAUCCGUAACUUCGGGAGAAGGAUGGCCCUGAGUAGGCGAAGUGCAGAAACGCACGGAACAGAAAAGGGUGGCAGAAAAGAGGCCCAAGCAACUGUUUACCAAAAACACAGGUGCCUGCGAAAGCGAAAGCUGAAGUAUAGGUGCUGACGCCUGCCCGGUGCUGGAAGGUUAAGGAGAGAGGUUAGCGCAAGCGAAGCUUUGAACUGAAGCCCCAGUGAACGGCGGCCGUAACUAUAACGGUCCUAAGGUAGCGAAAUUCCUUGUCGGGUAAGUUCCGACCCGCAUGAAAGGCGUAAUGAUUUGGGCGCUGUCUCAACGAGGGGCCCGGUGAAAUUGAAAUACCUGUGAAGAUGCAGGUUACCCGCGACUGGACAGAAAGACCCCAUGGAGCUUUACUGCAGCUUGAGAUUGAAUCCCGGUGGCAGACGCACAGGAUAGGUGGGAGGCUUUGAGAUAGUGACUUUGGUUGCUAUGGAGCCGACGUUGGGAUACCACCCUUCUGUUGCUGGGAUUCUAACGCGAAGAUUAACAACCUUGCGGACCAUCUCAGGUAGGCGGUUUGACUGGGGCGGUCGCCUCCGAAAGAGUAACGGAGG